rfam:Conidiobolus coronatus NRRL 28638 unplaced genomic scaffold CONCOscaffold_24, whole genome shotgun sequence.
GCCCUGGUAGCCUAAUGGAUAAGGCGUUGGCCUCCUAAGCCAAAGGUUGCAGGUUCGAGUCCUGCUCAGGGUA